GGGAGUUCGGGUUCCUCUUCUUAUAGUUCUUCCUCUCCCGAACGGGAUGUAGAAAUCGGGGGUACUCCUCCUUUUCCCACUGGGACUCCUUUGUCCACCGCCAUUGUUUUGGCUCCCAUUCCGGAGGAUGUCCCUGUUGUUGAAGUGUCUGCCCUGGCCACGGACGAUUCUACCCAACUUCCUCUUGAAGCCCGUGGUCAAAACAUUCAUGUGUUAGAGGACUCUCCCGUAGGUUAUCCUCCUGAGACAGAGGAGAAGUACCCUUUUCCGUCUCCUCUUGAGGAGAGAGGCGCCCCAUCUUUC
rnacentral:lncRNA from 1 species